rnacentral:rRNA from 1 species
CUGGCGGCAUGCCUAACACAUGCAAGUCGAACGGUAACAGGACGCUGUGAUCCCUUCGGGGUGAACUUGGCGCUGACGAGUGGCGGACGGGUGAGUAAUGCUUGGGAAUCUGCCCAGUAGUGGGGGACAACACGGGAAACUCGUGCUAAUACGCAUACGUCCUACGGGAGAAGUGGGGGAUCUUCGGACCUCACGCUAUUGGAUGAGCCCAAGUCGGAUUAGCUUGUUGGUGAGGUAACGGCUCACCAAGGCGACGAUCCGUAGCUGGUCUGAGAGGACGAUCAGCCACACUGGGACUGAGACACGGCCCAGACUCCUACGGGAGGCAGCAGUGGGGAAUAUUGGACAAUGGGGGCAACCCUGAUCCAGCAAUGCCGCGUGUGAAGAAGGCCUGCGGGUUGUAAAGCACUUUCAGUAGAGAAGAAAAGCUCAGGGUUAAUACCUCUGAGUCUUGACGUAACCUACAGAAGAAGCACCGGCUAACUCCGUGCCAGCAGCCGCGGUAAUACGGAGGGUGCGAGCGUUAAUCGGAAUUACUGGGCGUAAAGCGCGCGUAGGCGGCUAGGUCAGUCGGAUGUGAAAGCCCCGGGCUUAACCUGGGAAUUGCAUUCGAUACUGCCUGGCUAGAGUAUGGGAGAGGGAAGUGGAAUUUCCGGUGUAGCGGUGAAAUGCGUAGAUAUCGGAAGGAACACCAGUGGCGAAGGCGACUUCCUGGCCCAAUACUGACGCUCAGGUGCGAAAGCGUGGGUAGCGAACAGGAUUAGAUACCCUGGUAGUCCACGCCGUAACGAUGAGAACUAGAUGUCGGGAGGAUUUACCUCUCGGUGUCGCAGCUAACGCAUUAAGUUCUCCGCCUGGGGAGUACGCCGGCAACGGUAAAACUCAAAGGAAUUGACGGGGACCCGCACAAGCGGUGGAGCAUGUGGUUUAAUUCGAUGCAACGCGAAGAACCUUACCUGGUCUUGACAUCCUCGGAACUUUCCAGAGAUGGAUUGGUGCCUUCGGGAACCGAUGACAGGUGCUGCAUGGCUGUCGUCAGCUCGUGUCGUGAGAUGUUGGGUUA